UUGUAAAUUGAAGGUUCUUGAUUGGAAAUGGGCUUAAUCAAAUGCGUAUAAUGUGUAAGUUUAACCAAACACUUAAGGUUUCUUUGAUAAAAUGGCAGCAGCUAUCUUCAAUUAUUUCCAUUGAUUUUUGUUUGACAUGGUACAAUUAAGGUUGUAAAUCUAAUUCUUGCAUGGAACUAGUUAGUUGGUGUGAUCCAUGAUUUUAAGAUAGAAAAACGCUAAUUCUUUUGGCGAAUUGACAGCAAUUACCUUGAUUUUUCUAUGUUGUUUUACAAGGAUAAAUAUAUGUAAAUGAACGUACUUUUAAGAUUCCAUGAUGAUUGAUGUAUAAAUAUUUAUUUAUGAUUUGAGAGACGAAUAAAAUGGGUUCGUUACCUGAAA